rnacentral:rRNA from 1 species
CUCCAGUUGGAUGCAUGUCCUUCUGGGAAAGAUUCAUCGGUAUGGGAUGGGGUCGCGUCCUAUCAGCUUGAUGGCGGGGUAACGGCCCACCAUGGCUUCGACGGGUAGCCGGCCUGAGAGGGCGACCGGCCACAUUGGGACUGAGAUACGGCCCAGACUCCUACGGGAGGCAGCAGUGGGGAAUAUUGCACAAUGGGCGCAAGCCUGAUGCAGCGACGCCGCGUGCGGGAUGACGGCCUUCGGGUUGUAAACCGCUUUUGACUGGGAGCAAGCCCUUCGGGGUGAGUGUACCUUUCGAAUAAGCACCGGCUAACUACGUGCCAGCAGCCGCGGUAAUACGUAGGGUGCAAGCGUUAUCCGGAAUUAUUGGGCGUAAAGGGCUCGUAGGCGGUUCGUCGCGUCCGGUGUGAAAGUCCAUCGCUUAACGGUGCAUCCGCGCCGGGUACGGGCGGG